ACCGCCAAAGUUGUCCGGUGUUCGGUCAUUCAAACAUCACGAACAAGAAGCAACGCCUCGACACAGCGACUUAGAACCAACAGACCAACACAGAGUCAACACAACACAUUGGAAAAAGGCCAGACGUUUUUAUUUCUACAACUUCUUGAUUUAACCCAUCCUUUUUUUAAGUCACUAUGGCAAAUAGACAACUCGUCGCCAUCGCCGUCAUCGUGUCCCUCGCCCUCACUGUCGUCGACGCAAGGAACUUCCAUGCGAUCGGUGGUCCUCGACCAUGGGCUGCUGGAGGAGCCAAGCAGCAAUUAAGCGCUCUUCCCGGUGGUAAAGAUGGCAACCCAUUCAUCAAGAGACUGAGGCAGCUUGUCUUCCAACCAGAAGCAUUCUACGAUCCUGGAAUGGACCAGUUCGCCUUUGGAGAGGGUUUCAACGCCGAUGAAUAGAGAACUCAUCAACGACACAGACGAUACUGAGUAAACAUUUAUUUUUUCAGGAAAUUACCCCCACCAGCCUAGCAUUGCAGUUAGAAUCCUGCAGACUCUAGCUUAUGAUGACGCCCUCUGUUGAUUACCUCAGCACCGGAAUGUGCACCAACCCUACCCAUGAAUCCAGAGUUCUGCUCCCACCCGAUUGCCUGUUUUAGUUGCAAACCACUAUUUUGUUCCAUCUCAUAAUACGUUCGUUAUGGAGACCAACUUGCAAGCACUUUCGUGUGGCAAACCAUACUGCUUUCGUAUUGAAGCAAUACGACAAAAUGGUGAACUAACAGCUGUCAUCCAAAUAAACGGAGAUAUUUUACAGUAACUCAUUCGUGAAAGGGAAAUGGUACUUCGACAUAUAAAAGAAGGUGACAACACUCUUUUCCAGUAGUAAUGUGCAUCAUGCAAAUUUCGAGAGGUGGAGGAGAGAAAAGGGUGUGUGUAUGUGUGUGUGUGAGAGAGAGAGAGAGAGAGAGAGAGAGAGAGAAAGAAAAAGAAAAAGGGGGAGAGAGAUCUCAAACAUAGUAUUUUCCGGUUGGCCACUUCGAAUAUGCAUAAACUGCAAACAAAUUGGCAAGAUACAUUGCAUUGCUUUCAAAUUAGAUACUAUAGAAAUAAUCUCAUAUGAUGGAAUGAAAUAAUUACAAAACCGUGGACCAAAUCAAAAGAUGACGACGAUCAUUCAUUAUAAACAACCAUAAAACCACUAUUCAUUUUACGUGCAAUCUUUAUUUGUCCUCUAAUGUGCAAUGUUAUUUGAAGUUUAAAAUUAUUGUUAUACUCCUACACAAAGAUGAUGACUGCAAUUUGUCAUACCUGUAGAUGAAAGUAAUUUAUUUUCUUGUAAAUACUAAUAGUUUACCUGUGGCUUAUUUUCUACAUUCUGUAAAAAAAUAUUAAUUUUAUGAAUUCGCACGCAAUCCGCCAUGUGUAAUUAUGUAAGCACAUAAUUUAGAUGUGUGUUAUUGCUUAAGUUUGUAUAGGAAGAGAUAUAGCGCCAAUUGCGGCAUUUAUUGUUUGAUGAGUAAGUGUAUUUUAGAAACACCAGCCAUCCAUACUAAAUCCGCAGUGAUACUAGAAAACCUACAUAAUACCAGAUUGAUCAGAGAACAUUCUGAGCCCAACAAUUUUCUAUCUCACCUAGCCUUGUCUUAUCACAAUGACAAUAACCAAGUGUCAUGUAUAUAAUUCGUUACGAAGAUUUUAUCAAUUUGUUGGUCCAAAUUGUUUUCUCAUUGUAUUUAUUUAUUCAGUUAUAUAUGAAAUAAAUUAGUUCACAGCCCACACUGUGCUUACA